rnacentral:rRNA from 1 species
CAAUAGCGUAUAUUAAAGUUGUUGCAGUUAAAAAGCUCGUAGUUGGAUUUCUGGUGGGAGCGAUCGGUCUGGCGCUUAGCGCGAGUACUUGCAUCGUCUCCGGCCAUCCUUGGGGAGAGUCUGUCUGGCAUUAAGUUGUCGGGCAGAGGAUCCUCAUCGUUCACUGUGAAAAAAUUAGAGUGUUCAAAGCAGGCUUAUGCCGUUGAAUAUAUUAGCAUGGAAUAAUAAGAUAGGACUUUGGUACUAUUUUGUUGGUUUGCGCACCAAAGUAAUGAUUAAUAGGGACAGUUGGGGGUAUUCGUAUUCCGUUGUCAGAGGUGAAAUUCUUGGAUUUACGGAAGACGAACUACUGCGAAAGCAUUUACCAAGGAUGUUUUCAUUAA